UCAACCCUAAAUCACUAAAAGAUGAAAAUAUUUGCAUCUUAUUUCAUUUGCAUAUUUUCUUUAUUUUGGAGAGAGUCGUCAUGCUGAACUAGGGUUUCAAGCUUGAAAGUAGUCUAUUUGCAUCCAUUUCUGUUCAAAACAACAAGGAGGCACAACUGGUUGCAGGAUGGGCGAGAGACUACAGAUGGCACGAGGCAACACUCAAAGAGGACUCGUCAUUCAAGCAAUGACAAGUCACCCUUUCUUAACCUGCAUUUUACAUUAUGUUUUACAUCUACAAAUAGAUAGUCUAUUACUCAUUUGCACCACCAGUUAGUCUCACGGCUUGUGUGAGACAUUGUACAUUCAUAUUAAUAAAGAUUACUCUCCUCAUAAAUUUAUCUUCUCAA